rnacentral:rRNA from 1 species
UACGGAGGGUGCAAGCGUUAAUCGGAAUAACUGGGCGUAAAGCGCACGCAGGCGGUCUUUUAAGUGGGAUGUGAAAUCCCCGGGCUUAACCUGGGAAUAGCAUUUCAAACUGGCAGGCUAGAGUCUUUUAGGGAGGGGUAGAAUUCCAGGUGUAGCGGUGAAAUGCGUAGAGAUGUGGAGGAAUACCGAUGGCGAAGGCGGCCCCCUGGGCAAAGACUGACGCUCAUGUGCGAAAGCGUGGGGAGCAAACAGG